rnacentral:rRNA from 1 species
UACGGAGGGUGCGAGCGUUAAUCGGAAUUACUGGGCGUAAAGCGUGCGUAGGCGGUUCGGUCAGUCAGCCGUGAAAGCCCCGGGCUCAACCAGGGACGUGCGGUCGAUACUGCCGAACUCGAGUCCCGGAGAGGGUGGUAGAAUUCCCAGUGUAGAGGUGAAAUUCGUAGAUAUUGGGAGGAAUACCGGUGGCGAAGGCGACCGCCUGGACGGGUACUGACACUGAGGCGCGAAAGCGUGGGGAGCAAACAGG